UUCCAGUUUGAAAUAUCAUGCUCUACCACAUUGUCCCGUUUUGUUCACUAGUAUUUUUUAAAUUAAAUUAUGAUUAAAAACAAGAAAAUUUUAACUGUAACAUUUCACCUUCCAUGACUAGAACUAUCUGGCUAUACUUCUGUAAUAUUACUAAACCUGAUAAAGCUCAUAUUUUUCUUUUUACAGUGAUUUAUGAUGAAGAGCUGACACUUGCAUUUUUCAAAACGAUCUAUCACAUUCUUUCCAAGUCACCCCCUAAAACUCUCUUGCUCGCUAUAGAAAAACGUACUGUAUUUAGCAACAAGGAUCAGACAGUGUGCAGCCCAGCAUAUGAAGAUUUUACACAGCACCUAGCAGACAUAGUUAGUGUAGAUCAAGGUCCAGUAAGAUUUACAUCGCAGCAAAUGGAGUGCACUUUCCCACAGUACUUUCACUAUCAUAGAUCAAAGGAACUGGAAUUGUGGACAAUUAAAUCUCUGAAUGCAUUAAAGAGCUGACAAGCUAUAGAGACUAAUUCAUUACACAUGGAUUUUUACUCGUUUAUUGAGAACAGAUAUAAUGCCAGUGUCAUGACAUCACAAAGGACUUGAGGCACAGUGGCAACAGAUGGCAUAAGUACCUAUAUGAGAAUUAUCAAUCCUUCAACAAUGAAAAGGCUUAAAUUAACAAUGCCACCCUGUCAAGGAUUGGCUCAGGGUGAUCUGAUUCAAGUACUCAAAUGUGCAAAUCAUGUCCAAUGGUUCCUUGACCAAGAUGGGCAUUAGCUUUGUCAGACUAGCCAAAUCAUCUCCACGCCAGCUUGGUCCUAAAUUAUAGCAGGAACCAAACUCAUGUGCUUCCUAUGCUGUAGGUGCAUAGAGAAAGAUGAGGUAGACAAGAAACCAGAGAUCACACUGGAGGUGAAGUAAUACUAGGUGUUGGGGAGUGUACGGGCAUCACCACCAAGGCACAUCAAAUGCAGCCAUUUUGAAAUUCUAUAAAUGACACCAUACUAAAUUACUUUUUUUAAUGACUAACCAUUAUUAGAGGUUUAAGGAAUGUUAAAAAUGUUUUGAUUAUUUUUUGUUAUUUGGUGAAUGUAAUGAUUUUUGUUUUGUAUUGCUUAGUGAACGUUUUAUAU